CCUACGGGAGGCUGCAGUGAGGAAUAUUGGUCAAUGGCCGAGAGGCUGAACCAGCCAAGUCGCGUGAGGGAAGACGGCCCUACGGGUUGUAAACCUCUUUUGUCGGGGAGCAAAGCGACCCAAGUGGGGUUCAUUGAGAGUACCCGAAGAAAAAGCAUCGGCUAACUCCGUUCCAGCAGCCGCGGUAAUACGGAGGAUGCGAGCGUUAUCCGGAUUUAUUGGGUUUAAAGGGUGCGCAGGCGGGGGUGCAAGUCAGCGGUCAAAUUGCGGGGCUCAACCCCGUACUGCCGUUGAAACUGCAUCCCUUGAGUGCGCGAGAAGUAUGCGGAAUGCGUGGUGUAGCGGUGAAAUGCAUAGAUAUCACGCAGAACUCCGAUUGCGAAGGCAGCAUACCGGCGCGCAACUGACGCUCAUGCACGAAAGCGUGGGUAUCGAACAGGAUUAGAUACCCGGGUAGUC
rnacentral:rRNA from 1 species